GACGAACGCUGGCGGCGUGCUUAACACAUGCAAGUCGAACGGAAAGGCCCUGCUUUUGUGGGGUGCUCGAGUGGCGAACGGGUGAGUAACACGUGAGUAACCUGCCCUUGGCUUUGGGAUAACUUCAGGAAACUGGGGCUAAUACCGGAUAGGAGCUCCUGCUGCAUGGUGGGGGUUGGAAAGUUUCGGCGGUUGGGGAUGGACUCGCGGCUUAUCAGCUUGUUGGUGGGGUAGUGGCUUACCAAGGCUUUGACGGGUAGCCGGCCUGAGAGGGUGACCGGCCACAUUGGGACUGAGAUACGGCCCAGACUCCUACGGGAGGCAGCAGUGGGGAAUAUUGCACAAUGGGCGGAAGCCUGAUGCAGCAACGCCGCGUGCGGGAUGACGGCCUUCGGGUUGUAAACCGCUUUCGCCUGUGACGAAGCGUGAGUGACGGUAGUGGGUAAAGAAGCACCGGCUAACUACGUG
rnacentral:rRNA from 1 species